CCUACGGGAGGCAGCAGUGGGGAAUUUUGGACAAUGGGCGCAAGCCUGAUCCAGCCAUGCCGCGUGAGUGAAGAAGGCCUUCGGGUUGUAAAGCUCUUUCGGCCGGGAAGAAAUCGUGUUCUCUAACAUAGGACAUGGAUGACGGUACCGGACUAAGAAGCACCGGCUAHAUACGUGCCAGCAGCCGCGGUAAU
rnacentral:rRNA from 1 species